rnacentral:tRNA from 1 species
GUAAAUAUAGUUUAAAAAAAAACAUUAGAUUGUGAAUCUAACAAUAGAGCCUAACCACUCUUAUUUACC